UGUUCCUCAGCUUCAGCUCUGCCGGCCGGCUCUGUAGCUUUGAACGUUCGCACACUUUUGUUUAUGAUUUGUUAAAGUAAUCAUGGACGCCGGCUUAAACCAAGCAGCGCCCGAGAAACGCGUUGUUUUAGCGUCGUUGUCCACUGGAAAGUUUUUUGAAAUCCCAGAGAAGGACAUUACAGGUCGGUGCCGAUUAGUUACAGACUUUGAAAAACUGAACAGAAUCGGAGAAGGCACAUAUGGGAUCGUCUAUAGGGCUCAGGACUUGAAGACUGGAGAAGUUGUUGCAAUGAAGAAAGUACGAAUGGAACAGGAAAAAGACGGCAUUCCUGUCAGCGGGUUGCGGGAGAUCAACCUCUUGCUUAAUAUUCAGCACCAAAACAUUGUCAACCUGAAAGAAGUUGCUGUUGGAAAAAGCUUGGAAAGUAUUUUUCUCGUGAUGGAGUACUGCGAGCAAGACCUGGCAAGCCUGCUAGACAACAUGCAAAGUCCAUUUUCCGAGUCACAGGUGAAGUGCAUCAUGAUGCAGCUAUUCAAAGGUCUUCAGUACCUGCAUAAGAAUUUCAUCGUUCACAGAGAUUUAAAAGUGUCAAACCUCCUCCUGACUGACAAGGGCUGCCUAAAAAUUGCUGAUUUUGGACUUGCAAGAAAGUAUGGUCUUCCUGUAAAGCCUAUGACACCACGUGUAGUCACACUUUGGUAUCGGGCACCAGAACUGCUGCUGCAAGCCAAGACCCAGACCACAGCCAUCGACAUAUGGGCUGCUGGCUGUGUCCUCGGGGAGCUGCUGUUACAUAAGCCCCUGCUACCAGGGCGCUCCGAGAUUCACCAACUGGAACUGAUCAUUGAUUUGCUGGGAACACCCAACGACAUGAUAUGGCCUGGCUAUUCGAAGCUGCCAGCACUGGAGAAUUUCACCCUUAAGCAACAGCCGUACAACAACCUGAAGCAUUUCUUCCCCUGGCUCUCACCAGCUGGCAUCCGCCUUUUGAAUUUUCUCUUUAUGUAUGACCCAAAGAAAAGAGCCACUGCAGAGGAGUCGCUCCAAAGUUCCUACUUCUCUGAACCUCCCUUGCCUUGUGAAGCAGAACUUAUGCCUUCGUUCCCACAGCAUCGGAACUUGAAACGGUCUUCAGUGGGGAACCUUUCAGAAGAAAUCGGCCUUGCAGCAACGACGGCAUCGUCAAACUCAGCAAGGCCUCGAGCCAGUUUCUCCAUCAGUCCCCACUUCUCUGCGAAUGCCCUCAUGACGAUCAACACACUAGCUGCAUCGGAUGCGGAAGCGCCAUCAUCUACGUCGUCAUCCAUGAUGACGAUGAUGUGGAAGUGCUAGAAGCUAUAGGAGCAAGAAACACGUCAUGGCUACCAUGUUUUGAUGUCACUAUCAGUGGCGACUGCAGUCUGGGAAAGAAAGAAGACGACAAAGCUCAUCUAGGAGUGUUGGUCUGUGGAACAUUCCCAGAAACUGCAAGCACAAAGGUUCAGCACAGAAUUUAAUUGUUUCUCAUCUCAACAACGUUCAUUAAAAAAAAAAAUCACCUCA